GUGUGAUAGCCCAGCGUGUGCCGUACUGAUAGUGUUUUUUUUCUAGCUAUCAUAAGACACACGCGGCUGUUAUAC
rnacentral:pre_miRNA from 1 species